GCUUGUCUCAAAGAUUAAGCCAUGCAUGUCUAAGUGUAAAUACGUCUACACUGUGAAACUGCGAAUGGCUCAUUAAAUCAGUUAUCGUUUAUUUGAUGAUCUCUUGUUACAUGGAUAACCGUAGUAAUUCUAGAGCUAAUACAUGCUAACAGCCCCAACUUUACGGACGGGGUGUAUUUAUUAGAUACAAACCAACCGCUUCACGGCGUUUCGGUGAGUCAUGAUAACUUUGCGAAUCGCAUGGCCUCGCGCCGGCGAUGAAUCAUUCAAGUUUCUGCCCUAUCAGCUGUCGAUGGUAGGGUCUUGGCCUACCAUGGCGUUAACGGGUGACGGAGAAUUAGGGUUCGGUUCCGGAGAGGGAGCCUGAGAAAUGGCUACCACAUCCAAGGAAGGCAGCAGG
rnacentral:rRNA from 1 species